CACGGAGUUAGCCGGGGCUUCUUCUGAUGGUACCGUCAUUAUCUUCCCAUCUGAAAGAUCUUUACAACCCUAAGGCCUUCAUCGAUCACGCGGCAUGGCUAGAUCAGGCUUGCGCCCAUUGUCUAAGAUUCCCCACUGCUGCCUCCCGUAGGAGUCUGGGCCGUGUCUCAGUCCCAGUGUGGCUGAUCAUCCUCUCAAACCAGCUAUGGAUCGUCGGCUUGGUAGGCCAUUACCCCACCAACUACCUAAUCCAACGCGGGCCAAUCCAAAGGCGAUAAAUCUUUCCCCCGAAGGGCACAUACGGUAUUACUCCCAGUUUCCCGAGGCUAUUCCGUACCUUUGGGUAUGUUCCCACGCGUUACUCACCCGUCCGCCGCUAAGUCCGAAGACUUCGCUCGACUUGCAUGUGUUAGGCCUGCCGCCAGCGUUCGUUCUGAGCCAGGAUCAAACUCU
rnacentral:rRNA from 1 species